rnacentral:rRNA from 1 species
UCGCAGAUGAACGCGGGCGGCGUGCCUAAUACAUGCAAGUCGAGCGAACAGACAAGGAGCUUGCUCCUUUGACGUAGCGGCGGACGGGUGAGUAACACGUGGGUAACCUACCUAUAAGACUGGGAUAACUUCGGGAAACCGGAGCUAAUACCGGAUAAUAUUUCGAACCGCAUGGUUCGAUAGUGAAAGAUGGUUUUGCUAUCACUUAUAGAUGGACCCGCGCCGUAUUAGCUAGUUGGUAAGGUAACGGCUUACCAAGGCGACGAUACGUAGCCGACCUGAGAGGGUGAUCGGCCACACUGGAACUGAGACACGGUCCAGACUCCUACGGGAGGCAGCAGUAGGGAAUCUUCCGCAAUGGGCGAAAGCCUGACGGAGCAACGCCGCGUGAGUGAUGAAGGUCUUCGGAUCGUAAAACUCUGUUAUUAGGGAAGAACAUACGUGUAAGUAACUAUGCACGUCUUGACGGUACCUAAUCAGAAAGCCACGGCUAACUACGUGCCAGCAGCCGCGGUAAUACGUAGGUGGCAAGCGUUAUCCGGAAUUAUUGGGCGUAAAGCGCGCGUAGGCGGUUUUUUAAGUCUGAUGUGAAAGCCCACGGCUCAACCGUGGAGGGUCAUUGGAAACUGGAAAACUUGAGUGCAGAAGAGGAAAGUGGAAUUCCAUGUGUAGCGGUGAAAUGCGCAGAGAUAUGGAGGAACACCAGUGGCGAAGGCGACUUUCUGGUCUGUAACUGACGCUGAUGUGCGAAAGCGUGGGGAUCAAACAGGAUUAGAUACCCUGGUAGUCCACGCCGUAAACGAUGAGUGCUAAGUGUUAGGGGGUUUCCGCCCCUUAGUGCUGCAGCUAACGCAUUAAGCACUCCGCCUGGAGACUCACUUGG